rnacentral:rRNA from 1 species
UCACUGAUGUACCUAGCAUGUGCUACUUGUCCUGGCAUCUCAUUUGCUGUGUGCAAACUGAGCCGGUUUGUUUCCAAUCCGGGAGAUGUGCAUUGGCAUGCUGUUGAGCGAGUGAUGCAUUACUUGCAAGGUACUACGAAGUAUGGAAUUCACUAUUCUGGGUACCCAACAGUACUUGAGGGGUAUAGUGAUUCGAAUUGGAUAUCUGAUGCAGAUGAGAUGAAAGCCACAAGUGGAUAUAUCUUCACACUUGGUGGCGGUGUUGUUUCCUGGAAGUCUUACAAGCAGAUGAUCUUAACAAGAUCGACUAUGGAAGCAGAACUCACAGCAUUAGAGACAUCAUGCGUCGAAGCAGAAUGGCUUCGAGAGCUUUUGAUGGAUCUGCCGGUGGUUGAUAAACCAGUGUCGGCUGUCCUUAUGAACCGUGACAAUCAAAUGGUGAUUGCCAAGGCUAAGAGUUCAAAGGACAAUAUG